CCUCUGUAGUGGGGACAUGGCUCUCUUCCUUGGAUCCAAACAACCCUCGCAGCAGCAGGACAUAGGCCACCCUUGUUCCCCUGCUUGACCUGUGGCAGUUUGGAGUGCUAUGCUUUGUGGUUUUGUGCCAGAGUUGCCUGCGUGGUUAUUGUAACACUGGUAGGUUAGGCAAGGAUUUUCUUAAGAUGGUUUGGAUAGGGAUGAUCCUGCCUCAGGAAGGGGGUAGGAUUAGAUGAUCUCUAAAAGACCCUUCCAGCCCUAUUUUUCUAUUAUUCUGAGAGUCCAUUCUGGCCACCGUGCUGUUAAAUUUGAAGUUGUAAUUUAAAGAUGGUUCCCAACUGAGGAGACUGAGGAAGAUGAUAAUUGGGAGAUGGUCCCUUAGUUAAGUAGCUAGUUAGUGAGAGCCAUAAAAAGGGACUGAAGAAGUUGCCUAUAGCUCCACAAUUAAUUUUUUUAGUUUUAAUUUUUCCCAUUCAUGUACACCUGUGUUUUAGUGAACCCAAUGAUCACUACACAGGCACUGGCUAAGCAACACAGAUAGUCAAUCUGGCUAUCAUGGUUAAGAGACAUCAGUUUCUGUAACCAACAGCACAGAGACUAGCAUCAUAUCCAGACACCUUUGACUUCUAUGUUAAGUAGGUAGCUAUUUACAGCUGGAGGCAUCUUUCAGCACAAGUGCAGAGCAAGGCAUGUGCAUGACUCUGGAUGUGUAACAAGGCAUUUUAACUUCUCUUAUACUGAGGGAAGCAGGCUAGCCUGGAAAAAAUGAGGAGAGGUCUUCUCAAGCAAGUGCUGGCCUUUGGCAUUGAAGCUUGAGUGCUAUGGGAAGGGAAGGAAUGAAUUGGGAAAUAUCUUCCAGCCAUCCUCCCUCCCCCAGAAAUGGAUGGUGCAGUUUGGCUGCUCUGGCAGCAAGGGCAAAUGGCAGAGAACCCAGGGAGAAGAGGAGGCAGAAAGAGUUUGGACAAGAGGGGCUGAGAAAUGUGGUGGGAAUGGAAACUUCCCAGAGCAGGCAGGACCAGAGGUUUGCCCUAAGCCCUGACUUAGCAAGGGAGCACUUUCUUUUAAAGAUAAGGAGCAGCUGGAAGAGGAGCAAGAAUGACAGGUAUGUGUGAGCCUAUCAGCCUUGGAGCUAUGCCAUGCCCUCAAGGGACAGCAGUGUAAUCAGGCAAAUAGGAUCUGACUGGGUGGUACAGCCUGUGCCUAUGUGCCCAGAUAGGGCAAAUGGUGCAUGGGGCACAUGAACCAGCAGCGUGUGGCAGGGCAUUUGGUGUGCCUGCUACUUGAAGUGGUCAGGCAGCCUAUUGAGCCAAAUGCAGGUGUGGGUCAGGGUUAAUUGUGGACUCAGCUGGCCCAGGGGCUAGCAGGUGAGGCUAGGCCUUAUCAUGGGAGUCACCUGAUUGGAAGAGGGCUGAGUUUAGAUGGGGUAUAAGCCCAGACCCUGAGAGCAGGGCUGGUAAUAAUAUCUUGGGAGCUGGUGUAGGAACAUCACCCAGCUGGAAGGCUGCAGCUCCUGAAUGCCAGUGAAAAGAAUGUCUGAGGUUUGGGUAGGAGCUAAGGAGAUGGAGGAGGUUCCUGGGGACCCAGUGUGGGGCUCAGAGCCCUGAGAAGGAGGCUGGGUGCCUGAAGCCUGUUAAGAGGCCAGGUGAGCCCAGAGAGAGAGGGGCCGAGUGCAUGGGGGCCUAGGGAGGGGUCAGACAAGCCCUGGGAGAGUGUGUGGACCUAGUGAGGGGCCAGGUGAGCCAUGGGAGAGGGGCUGGGUGUCUGAGAGACCUAGUGGAGGGGCUGGGUGAAUCCAGUGAGUGGGGCAGAGAACAGGGGCCUAGUGAGGCAUCUGGAUGAGCCCAGAAAAGGAAUGGGCUAUACAGGAAGACCUAUGGAGGGCUCCGAGCCCAGGGAGAGUGAUCUGUGGAGGGGCCCAAGAGGGUGGACCCACAAUGACAAGAGGGCUGACAGCCAGAGGACUAACCCUGGGAAUCUCAACUGGCCUGUGUGGGGCCAGGGGACAGGAGGGGCUGAAAGGUGAAAUAUACCAUGGCAGAGGGAAAGCCUGGAGUUCUUGGCUGGCCCGAGGUGGGGCCAGGGCUUAGGAGAGGCUGAAGGUCCUUGUGUGGCCACAGCAAAGCGGAAGGGGGCAAGGGGUGUGGUAAAAAUAUAGCAUAAUCUAUAUUUUUCUGCUUUUAUAAUUGCUUCUGCAUAUUUUCAUAAUUGCUUUUGCUAAGGCAUAUAUGCUAAUGAUAGAUUUAUGAAUAGCAAAAAAAAAAACUUCUGCAGACAGAGCCAGGAACAGAUGCAAUAAAUAACUCCUUACGAGAGAUAAGAGAAGAGGGGCAGGGAAGAUGCUGAGGUGGAGAGACCAGACCCUCACCGAAGGAUGACCGCGAGGGGCUUAAGAACUGCCCCUGGGAGGGGAUUUAAGAUGUAAAUGAGACAUGUAUGUAAACAGUCAUAGAACAUGUAACUGCUAGACAUACGAUGCAAGACGUAAUGCUAAGUCUGCCAAUAAUUGCACGAUACGUUGAAAUCUAUUGUUUACCUUGGCUAUAAAAAGACGUUUCAGACCCAGUUUGUUGUCGACCCUGAUCUGAGUGGCUCAACUCCUGGGUCGGUCUGUUUGCAAACAAAUAAAUCUAAAAUUAGACCUAGCCUGUGUGUGACUCUCUCCUGGGGUGGAUUGGACAAGCCUCCAGGGGCACGAAACUAGCCGUUUGUGCAACAAUUUGGCGAGCCAGCCAGGAGAGGCUCUUGGCCUACCCUGGGGUCAACGACAGAAGCGGGAAAGGUGUCUGUGAAGUGCGCACCAGACUGAUUUUGGAGUCUGUCACGGUCACUGGGAACGUGAGUCGGGACACCCAAGAGGUUAAAAGGCUCUCCACUGAAUGAGUCACCCAGGCUGAGCAGGGUCCGAAGAGACGGCGCCAGGGUGUUGGCAGGAGCCUCACCUUCAAGCACACCACUGCUUUGAACCCAGCCACCCUGAUACCAGAACCGGGACCUCCGUGCCAUGAUUGCUUAGAGGUAUUGACUCGGACAAUACUAAUCCGUCCUGACUUGACAGACGACCCACUCGAGGACCCGGAGGAGGAGUUCUUCAUAGAUGAUUCAAGUAGUGUAAUACAUGGCGUGCUGCAUACGGGGUGUGCUGUGAUAAUCUUAACUGAGACUAUAUGAAAAAAAAAAACUCCCUGCAAACUGGUCAGCACAGGCAGCGGAGCUCACUGCCCUGACAUGUGCAUUGGUAUUAGGAAAAGACAAAAGAGUGAACAUUUUUACAGAUUCGCGCUAUGCCUUUGCCAUUGUACAUGCCCAUGGGUUGUUGUGAAAAAAACGUGGGUUCAUCACGGCCUCUGGACAAAAGAUUGCAAAUGGGCCACAGAUUGUAAUGCUAUUGGAAGCCCUCUGGCUACCGAAAGAGGUGGCCGUGGUGCAUGUUAAAGCCCAUGGCAAGGCUGCAGACGAGCGCCAGAGAAGGGGAAAUGCGAAGGCUGACGUAGCAGCCAAAGAGGCGGCACAGAUGGGAGAAGAGGCAGUGUUUCAGGGCUCGGCCCAUGAGGUGCCCUUUUACUUAGAAGAUUAUAAAGCAAAGUAUGGCCCAGGAUCAGAUAAGCUAGCCGCAGAGCUCUAGGCUAUUAAGAACCCUCAGGGAUGGUGGAUUGUACCCGGUGGGAAAGUAUUAAUACCUCGAUGCUUAUUGGGAGAGAUACUCCACCGGUUACAUUAUACCACUCACAUGGGAGGCAAUGCGAUGGGAGACUUGUUAACUCGUCAAAUGAUGGCUCCAGGACUUUAUUUGGAAGCCCAGAGAGUGGUCUCUCAGUGCCCGACCUGUCAAAAGGUAAACCCAAAAUCUACAAGACCACCAGCCCCUAUGGGAGAAAGACCGUGGGCCCAUUAUCCCAGACAAGCUUGGCAGAUUGACUUCGCUGAACUUCCAAAGUCUGGUCAUUACCGUUAUCUGCUAGUAUUGGUUGAUCAACUAACUGGAUGGGUGGAAGCGUACCCCACAAGAACGGCUACCGCAUCCACAGUGACACGAGUACUACUCCACGAGAUAAUACCCCGAUUUCUGUUGCCUGAAUCCAUUGAGUCAGAUCAAGGAAGUCAUUUUGUGGAGAAAAUAAUACAGGAAGUGUCCAAAGCUUUAGAUAUCACAUGAAAACUCCAUGCUCCAUGGAGACCCCAGAGUUCAGGUCAGGUGGAGUGCAUGAAUAAAACACUGAAGGUUAUGCUAACAAAAAUCUGUAUUGAGACUCAUUUGAAAUGGCCGCAGGCACUCCCACUGGCUUUAACUCGUAUUUGUAGCACACCACGUAGAGGGAUUAAAUUGUCACCUUUUGAACUAAUGUUUGAUAUGCCUCCCAGAGUCUUGCCAGCGGGGUGGAGGAAACAGGUUACUGUGGAUUUGGGGAAAUCCGAAAUUUGAGAACAUGUUAUCGCCUUGCAGUCUGUUUUGUCUUCCCUACACAGGUUUGCUGCACCCUUCCAGAGCCUCCCGCUUGAUGCACCAAUCCACAACUUUAAACCGGGUGACCAGGUCCUGGUACAGAAGUGGAGAAAGAAUCCUCUUACGGAAAGGUGGGAGGGACCCUACCAGGUGCUGCUGACUACACACACAGCUGUUCUCUUAUCAAACAGAGAUAACUGAACCCAUUGCUCGGGAGUGAAGCCCUUUCAUCAGGAGGACACCAACUCCCAGGGUGUGGUCACUCCAGAAGCUGAUAACACCCGGGAACAAGAAGCCAACAAAUGGAAAAGUGAACCUGCUGGAGAUUUAAAGUUACGCUUGCAAAGAUGUGGGCCCUAGUCUAUUUGUUGAAGUUCUUGUCCCUUUUAGGUAUAUCAAACCCAGCUAUUAUGCCCACCUGUUGUAAGUGUCCCCAAAACGGGGGUGGAACCCUCACUGAGGCUAACUACAAACUUUCAAAGUCUACAAUACUUAGUGCCCUCCUGCACCCCAUUUCCCAGUGCUGCCCACGUCGAAAAAUUAUAAUUCAAUCCGGCGAUACAACACCGCUGUGUGUAAAGCCAGACCCAGAAGUCUGGUCUGCAAUUCUCAAAGAUUGGCCUUCAAGCCUUCAACCUGUCAAUAAUAUAUGGAAACCUAAAGGCACACCUACAAAUACAUGGGUGGGAAAUUCAUGGGUGGUCCUUCUUAAAGGCUCAGCUCGGGCUCUAACUAACGAAAGUUGUCUUUUGUGUGCGCUUACUCCUGUUUCUAGUGAUGAGGGAGUCCCUUUCUUGCCUAUUCCCCUCAAUAGAACUGGUAUAGUCUCAGAUUGGGGUUUUAACCGGAAUUUUUCUUUGCGAUAUAAUGGUUCUAAGAGAAUUAUGGUGGCAAAAGUUACUGGAUCUAUUUGCAUUUCCCAACACGGAAGUGGAUUUAAAGUGGGACAGUCAAGGUGCAAGAAAACAUGGAUUUCUAAGGAAAUCGCCCCCUGGGAGGGUGCAUGGACAUGCGCAAAUGUCUCACAUAACAAUUUUGACAAUUGUAGCUGCCUAUUGAGUAAGGAGUGGAUUUCAGUUUGGGGCAUUAAUUGUUCCCACUAUCGAAAUGAUACCAAGGUGAAUGGGAGUUCAACAAAAAAAAAGCUCACUAACUCUAACUUUAAUGAGCUCUCGUUCCACCAUCACAAAUGAAGCCUGUGGGCUAUGGUGGAUUUGUGGGCGAUGGGCAUAUAGGCAGCUUCCCACCAAUUGGGCUGGGACUUGUUAUUUGGGGGCUUUAAUUCCGGGUGUUUGGAUAACACAACCCAAAACUCAUCGAGCCAAACGAAAUACUGAUGUUUCUUUUGAGGGCAUUGCAGCAGGGAGAAGCCAAAAAUGAAAAAAUGAUGAGUGGCCAGCAGAGAGAAUCAUUCAGUACUAUGGUCCAGCAACUUGGGAGCCAAACGUCGUUGGGAGAGAGCCCACAUAUUUGACAAAUCGAAUUAUUAGGCUCCAGGCCGUAAUAAAAAUUGUUACCAAUAAAACUGCCGCAGCCCUGCGUCUGAUUGGCAACCAGCUCACUCAACUACGUACUACGGUACUGCAAAACCACUUAGCUCUUGACUACUUACUUGCAAGUGAGGGAGGGGUGUGCAGGAAGUUGAAUUUAUCAAAUUGUUGUGUUGAAAUUGAUGAUAAUGGUGAAUUGAUAAAGGCCUUAGCGGAUGAAAUGGAGGAGGUAGCACAUGUCCCAGUCCAAACAUGGAACGGGUGGAAUUUUGAUUGGUUUACAUCCUGGCUCCCUAAUUUUGGAUGGUUAAGGGGAGCGUUCUUAAUCUUUUGUCUGCUAAUGUUGAUACUUUGUUUGAUUCCCUGUAUUAUACCCUGCAUCAUGGCUCUCGUGAGACGAACAGUACAGUCGGUCGUCAACCGAGAGAUGUUUGUGCAUUAUCAGAAGUUAGCCAUAGCUGAAAAUUAUUAAAAUUAGAGUUAGAGAGCAUCUUGAGGGGGGAUAAUUGUGGUAAAAAUAUAGCAUAAUCUAUAUUUUCCUGCUUUUAUAAUUGCUUCUGCAUAUUUUCAUAAUUGCUUUUGCUAAGGCAUAUAUGCUAAUGAUAGAUUUACGAAUAGCAAAAAAAAAAACUGCAGACAGAGCCAGGAACAGAUGCAAUAAAUAACUCCUUACGAGAGAUAAGAGAAGAGGGGCAGGGAAGAUGCUGAGGUGGAGAGACCAGACCCUCACUGAAGGAUGACCGCGAGGGGCUUAAGAACUGCCCCUGGGAGGGGAUUUAAGAUGUAAAUGAGACAUGUAUGUAAACCGUCAUAGAACAUGUAACUGCUAGACAUACGAUGCAAGACGUAAUGCUAAGUCUGCCAAUAAUUGCACGAUACGUUGAAAUCUAUUGUUUACCUUGGCUAUAAAAAGACGUUUCAGACCCAGUUUGUUGUCGACCCUGAUCUGAGUGACUCAACUCCUGGGUCGGUCUGUUUGCAAACAAAUAAAUCUAAAAUUAGACCUA